AGGGCAAAGGAUAUUCAUUACAGAAAGUGACGCUAAAACAUCCAUCCACAAACCAGUACAAUUGAAGCUGGAAGGGUUAGGGCUGUAGCUUAAUGGCAGAGGAUAUGUUUUGCAUACAGAAGGUCUCAGAUUUAAUUCCUGGCCUCUCCAGGCAAGACUGAGAAAGAAGACCCCAGGGAUAUAAACCCUAGAGUGCUUCUGCUAGUGUGGUUAGAGGCUAUACUGGGGUGGGGAACAUUUUUCAGGCCAAUGGUCAUGUUCUCUUUUAGAAAAAGAAGGUAAAUUUUCCAUUUGUACAGUAGGCUAGUUUCUACAGCCAAUCCUCAAUUCAGGCAUGCAAGAAUCAUUGUAAGAGUUCAAGGACACAUUCCAGCCAGGCAAAAAUAUUCAAGGAGCAUUUGAAGCAAAGCCAGUGGGGUGGGUGGCCUGGGGAAAAGGGCUCUGGUCUUGGGAGAGUCCCAAGAGAGGACAGGAGGGCUGUACGCAGUCCCCAGGCCUGAUGUUCCCCAUACUAUGGACCAGGGAUGGUAAGAAGAUAAACCGGGAUCUGAAGGUAGAUCUCUGGUUGAUUUGCAGUAGACCAUCUAAGAUGUUGGACUCCUAGUUCUUUAACAACAGCCGCAGCAAAUAACUCUGUGCCAUCUAAAUUAUAUUGCUGAAAUGAUGGAAGCUGGAGGGGAGAGAGCCAGGAGUGGGUUUGUGUAGGUGCGGAAGGACUGCAAGUUGCAUUCAGUUCUGGUACUACAAAAAAGAAAGAAAAGCACAUCUCUUAACUCUUAGUGUCUUAGGACUUAUCCACACUUAACUUUCCUCUGCUCUUUCCAAGCAUGGCUCACACUUUAAAGCUCCAUGUCUGAGGGCCUCUCCCUCCCCCCUUUUUUUUCUUCUUCUUCAAAGCUUUUACCACAGAAACCUUCUCUUAAAGCUGAAUCAGAGGAAACAGCAAUCCACAGAAAAUCCAAAUUGAUGUUUGCUCCGAUGGAGCACCAAAGAGUAGGCUUCUGCAGGGAAAGCUCUGGGGCAAAACAAAACAAAAUGUUCAGACACUGAGCUUUUAAGUGCAGACUUGUCCCUGGAAAGAGUGAGGCAAAACAUAGGUGUGGAUAACCCCAUAUUGUUGCACCAGACUCUACACAUUGGUCGAAUUGGAGCUUCCACUCCAAAAUGUUGUUUUUUGGGUUUUUUGUUUGUUUAACUAUCUUUUCCAUGAGAUUCUAUAAUAACAGCAAAUUCUUAUUGUCAUGCUAAAGCUCAUUGCUGUUCCAUUGCGAAUAUGCUCAGGAGCCAAUUUGGGUGCAAAAAAACCAUCCUUCUGCACCUUGUAAAGUUUGGUCCUAGUUCUAAAAAGAACCCUGUUUCCCUUGUGAGAAAAUCAGUUACUAACCUUUCCAGCAUCACCUUGUGCAUUUAAUAAGGUCUAGAAAUGGGGACAGUUUAAAAAUUGGGACACUUCGUUAUAAUACUAGCAAAUAACCCAGUACAGAGUAAACAAUCUGUACAAGUGAAUAGAGGAGCUUGGGAGUUCCAUUCAUAUUCUUCAAUAAUCCUCAGGGUGCAGGCGGAGAGUUUUCCAGUGCUGUCCCAGAAUGGAUAUACCGUUGCAGACCUUGUUUAUCAAAACUGCUCAUUACCAAAAAAUGUUUUGUAAGAUUUCUGGGCCAGUUACAUAAAUAACAUUGUUCUUGUCAUAGUCCAUUCUUUAUCACACAUAUCUUUGGAGGUUGGUGACAACUGUGACCUUUCAGGCUAGUGUAUAUUCCAUUGCUUCGAUUAAUGCACUUGCUUCUGGCUCCUGCUGAGAAGUUCUGAAAGGUGCACAAAUUCUCCUCGGCGUAAUGAACUUCAGCUUGUUCCACACAAAGACCAUUUCAUUUUCAUUUUUAGAUGGUGCUUUCUUUUCUGCAGUGAGCUUGCUUCAGACAACAAAAAGAGAAAAGGAUCAGAGUGGUACUCCAGAGACAAUGCUUCCUGUUCUUCUGUGACAAUAGAUAAACAGCAUUGCCCAAGCAUAGAAUGCGUUGUGAAUUCCCCUCUGCUUUGUCUCAGUCCAUUGUAAAAAAUAAUAUGCACAGUGAGAAGAGGCAUACAAGUCCAAGGCUUGCAGUUCUGCCCCAGUGUGUAUGAAAUGCAGCAGUGCUAUUUUUCUUCAACGAAGAGGUGCCGGAACUCACCAUGAAUGCCUCCCUUGUUCUCUUAUAAUGGCAAUGGAACCCACCUGAGAAGUGUCGGAACUGAGUUCCAGUGGGUUCUGGCUGGGGGGGGGGAGCCCUGUAUUCUGGUAUGGUGGAUGAACUGGUCUUGCCAUCCAUUGUGACAUGUGAGCUAGGCUGCUGCUACUACACCGUUUUCCUAGAUGCAGCAGCACUGUCAUGGAAUGUGCCCAGGAUGGGGCAUGGCAGUGAUAGUGUUGGAGUACCAGAUUAGCGGUAGCAAUGAAUGCAGAAUCCACAUAGCAGCAGCACCUUACUCCAUGUGCUGUGCCUGCCUGUCAUGUCUUCAUAUGCUGUGGAAAUGGUGGAGUAUAUAUGUAUAUAUACGUUAGGAAGGCGAACCACGCUUUUUCAAUAUUUCCUUUGACAAUCUAAGGGCUCUUUGGGAUUGUAAGGGAACUUCUGUUCAAUUUAAUUGUUUUCUUUGUACACAUGUGCUCAUGCCUACGCAAAUUAUUAGCAUAUAUACUACAUCAAAUUAUUAGCACAUUCACUAAUCACCAGACUAUUUUAAUUAUUUAGUCCUUUAUUAAUUAAUUAGCCCCAGCUCUCUUUUUUAGCACAAUUUAUAAUACUGCAAAAUUGAGGUUUUUACAGGAGAGGCCUAAUGGACUAGGGAGACUGCUUAAAGUUGGUUAGAUGGGCUGUGUCUGGUCAGGCACAUUAGUUGGCUAAGUCAACUACAGGUGAUGUGUUGUCAUGGAAAUGGAAUGCUUAGACAAUUGCUUCAUUCUGGAUAAAGGGUUGUUUUGGGAAUGGGGGGGGACAACUGGAGAAAAGGGAAGAACUCCCCACUAGGGAAGAGAUCAUCCAAAGUCUUUGUGUGAAGAGAAGCAGUGAGAGACAGAGAGCUGUGUCUAUAAACAUCUUGUAUUGUUUCUCUCUGUCUCUCUGGAGAUCUGACGUGGAAGCAGUGGGCUUUGUUGUCUAUUGGAGUGUUUAAGCUGUUCUUCCACCUAUGCUGACCCUGUGUAUUUGUAAAUAAACAUAUAGUUAAAUGCCAUUAAGCCUCCAGGGAUCACCUUCCAAAGGAAAUCAACCCUGGGUCAGCAUUGUACCCAGUGGAACCUCUCACCAGUCAGAGAAGUGAGCAGAGCGUAACAAUAGCAAAAUUCUCUUGAGACUUUCUGUAUCUCAUGUGCUUAGAUUCAAGGACAGAAUGGAGAGUAUUUUCACACAGUACUUGGUAUAGUUAAAAUGAUUAUAAGCAGCAUAAUGGUCUUUUUCAUAAAAUGGGGAAUUAUUCAUUCAAACGUUAAAAUGGAAGGAACUUUCAUGCAAUAGUAGGUGAGUGAGUCAAGGUUGAGGAGAAGGAAUGUCAUCCUUUAGACUGACAGAAUAACAGAGCAAUACCACUCCCACCCCUGACACCAGGCUACAAGAAGAAGAAGAGUUAGGAUUUGAUAUCCCACUUUAUUACUACCCUAAGGAGUCUCAAAGUGGCUAACAAUCUCCUUUCCCUUCCUCCCCCACAACAAACACUCUGUGAGGUGAGUGAGGCUGAGAGACUUCAGAGAAGUGUGACUAGCCCAAGGUCACCCAGCAGCUCCAUGUGGAGGAGCGGAGACACGAACCCGGUUCACCAGAUUACGAGUCCACCGCUCUUAACCACUACACCACACUGGCUCACUGGAUCUCAAGGUGUAUGUGUAUGUGUUGUGCUGAGAUGCCCUUCCAGCCAGGGCUGCCAAAGCUAGCCUCCUGCCAACUGUAGAGUGACGCAAGCAUGUGAGAGUCCUGUUGGCAGGAUGGCAGCCAUUGCUAGCCAGUGGAAGGCCCACAAAUGGACUAUUCCAAAGGUGGAAUGCAAUCCAUUGGAUCCCAAGCUAGUCAACAGUGAGAUGCCACAUGAUGGCAUUGGGCCAGAUAUGGGUCAGGUCCCUAUACCAGCUCCAGGUUGGCAGAGCAUUCUUAUUCUCCCCUCCCACAACCACUACCACCUUUAAUGUCAGCCACUGUGAGCAGCAGGGUAGCGGAUGCGUGUGUGUUCAUACAGGGAGCAUUUUACCCCCUGAGGAUACGUGAUAGAGAACAAACUCCAAUGAAAACAGUGGGGCUUACUUGUUGCCUGUAAACAUGAAUAUUAUAGUGCUAUCAGACUAGAGAUGUUGCUGCAUCUAAGCCAGGGGCCGGCAAGGUUUACCUUGCCUGGGCCAGUUCAUUCCAGCGGCGAUCCCUCCGUGGGCCAGAUUAUGCGCACACAUGAGCGCAUGCAGCCGUGAUUGCCAGCGUCAGUGUCUGCACAGAUGCGAUUUCCGGCAUCGGCGCAUACACAGACGCAAUUCCCAGCACCAUGGAAGCGAGUCCCUGUGCCGCGCCAGUUUAGCGCAACGCGUGGGGACUUGCUGAGUGGGCGGCUCGGUGCGGGGGUGGCUCGUGGGCUGGUUAAAUAACCCCCAUGGGCCGCUUGUGGCCCAUGGGCCUUAGGUUGCCUACCCCUGAUCUAAGCUCUCUAAUACGGCUAAAUAAUUGCUCUCCCACGUCAACUGAAAGUAGAAUUAAAACAAAGCACUUAAUAAAUGUUCAAUGCUCUGAAGCAGUAUGUUGUUUUACUUAUUUCUAAUUUUCUGUUUUGACUCGAUUUUAGUGAUUUUUUUCAGGCUUUACUAUUUAUUAACUUAUUGUAUGCUGGUCUGCAUUAUUAAAAGAGAAAAGCAAAGUGGUAGAUUGGAAAACAGCUACCGUACUAACUGGAGGUUUUCUAGCAUACAAAAUAGUUCUUGAUAAUUAUUGCACCACCUAUAAGCCACAUUUUGUGCUUGUGGUUGGCAGGAGCUCUCAACACCCUCUGAAUAAGGCCUUUCCCCAUCUUCUAGGAUUCAUGGUUGCCGAAGAACCGUCUACUUUAGCCAAGACAACGUGCUGCACCUCAUAGGAGCUUGCGUCAUUUCUGUCCUUAAUAGAGAGGCUAAUUAGUACAUUGCAAUGCUCCCAAGUUUUCUCAUUUACAACAGCCAGCAGCCAUUAUUUAAAAAGUUUCUUCCAAAUGCUGCCAUGAGACUGGGAUGAAUCUCCUAGCCAGUGCUUUUUGGAUCUUACAAUGAACGAUAGCCAGAGGCAAACAUCUCUGCAUAACACGGCAAAUCAAUGUGCAAGUAACAGCAUGUAUGGGAGAACGCAUGUGUGAAGAAAAAUUUAAAUAUCUUCACAGGUUUUUCUCAUAUAUAUGAAGUGGAUUUUGUGGAACAACAGGAAAAGUUGGGGAGCUUAGCAGUCCGCUCCUCUGACUGAAUGUUAUAGGAAAGUCAUAAUUAUGAGGCAUAUUAAAUAGAACGUAACCAUGCUGCCUCAGCAGAUCUGUGUGUAUAAAAUGAAAGGAUAAUUAACAAAUAGCAAAUAGGAUAAUUAAAAUGAUCUUGAGUUCUUUUCACUCACCACAAAAGGUUUUCCACCAGAUGCUCUAAUUUUAUAUUAAUUCUUUGUUUCCACUGCUGUCCUGAAUUGCAUAGAUGGCAAGCACAAAAACUUUAGAGGGAGGAAUUAUUCUAGCAUCUGUUAGGUCCCUUGGGAAGUAGCAACUUUCUAAUUAUGUGGCCAUAUUUUAGUCAAUGAAUGUUGGUAAACACUAAGGCUGCAAUCCUUUGCACAGCUCGGCUCUCUGAAUGCUAUCAGUUUCAGAGGGAUGUAAGCGGCUGAACUGCUUGUGGGAUUGCAGCCUAAUUGUUUUGCUAUAACUAUUAAAUUCUGCAUUGUGGGGGAUGCCACUCUGCAUGCUUCAACUCUUGGAGCCUGAUGGAAAGGAGCACUUGCCCUUUGGUGCUGGAUGCUACCAUUGACUAGUGUCAGUAAGCCAAGACAAGUGAUGCUGAAUGAAGCAUGUGGCUUCACAACAAACUCUUAAGCCUUUCCCAGGAAGCUGGGGGUGACUGUGCUUGCAACCCUGCAUAUUGUUAGGUCAUUUAAACGUGACAGACUUGGAAUAUGGCUUCACUGCUCAGACUUCAAUGGGGUUUCAUUAGCUAAUCUGUAUAAAUGCUUGCCACCUAUCAUCCUGCCCAAGUACAGUUCCAUGGUAUAUAUAUAAACCUAUUUCAGCCAUGGUAUUAGUUAGCAAAUUUGUGCAUACUGCAUGCCACUCUUUCAACUCCUUGUUUUUUCCAUGGUGUUACUACAAUGGGAGUGUUAAAGGAGCUAAAUAUUCUGUGCGUUUUAUAUGUACUAUGAGCUUUGCCCAAGUUUUGGCCCAGACUGCAGAUGCACAAAAAACAGGCAGUGACUGAUGAAAUCAGCAUCCGAAGAAUCUUUGCUUUCUUAAAGCAUGUUCCUUUGUAGCCCUUUUAGCUGCUGAGAACAACUUAGGUGAAAUCACAGAAGCCUGAGGAGUAGAUGUAUACAUUUUCUGCUGAUCAGGAAGUAGGCUGCUAUUUGCUCCACAUGACCAGUAG